AAAGAAACCAGAAUUUUUAUGCAUGUAUUGAUAAUUAAAUUCUAAUUGCUGGAGUUCAGUUUUGAUUUGAUGCUGAAAAAAGAAAACUUGGAUCGCAUAAAUAGCUAUAUACAUAAGCUAACAAGACAUUUUUUAUAAAACAACUAUGAAAAGAUAGUAACGUAAGGAUGCAUAGCAUAUUUGUUGCACGUACUUAUAUACUAUGAAACAGCAAUAAAGGGGAAAGAGAAAGAAUGCAACGUAUUUGCUACGUGACCAAAUUAACAUUAAGUCCGAAAGAAACAGCUAUAUUCGAUUCAUGGACAGAAAAUUGAUUCGUAACUAUGCAAAUCAAUUGAAACGUCCAUUUCUUCUUUUUUUAUUAUCGUAUAUUCUUGCGGUUGUCAUCGAGAAUUCGAAGAACCGCAGCGAAUCGUGAAAGCAGACACUGGUACGUGAUCGAAAUGCCAUAACUUUGGCACGAGAUCCAUGAAUACCAGCAAAAUUCGUGACGGAACUCGGAUACGUUGGUCGAACGAUUCCUUGUGCUUAUCACGCAUUUAUGAAAUUCUGGUUCUUACUGGAUAUACCUGGUCGUAUACUUUCAAUUAGCAUGUUCUAAUCCUGUAUGCUUAUUAUUUGAAAUGAAGAUGUCUCCAAUGAUUUUUGCAAAGUACAAUUUGUAGAUGAAUAUGAUCUAUAAAAUAUUGAAUUACAGAACGCAGGACAUGGAAUAUGCAAAAGAUGAAAUAUGAGAUAGAAAUUAGGAAUAUUAAGAUUGUUUGAAAAUUCAUACAAUUACAUAAAAUGCAUUUUUAUUGGAUUUCAUAAUUCUAAUUU